UUGUCAUUGCUGUGGAUCUUUACCUGAUACACUGACUUGGCUCAGGACCAGCACUCCUGCUGUUGGACAGAAAGACAUCAACUCAGUGACUUGAGAUAUGACUGCACUAUGCUGUUGCUGGUGACUCCAGUUAAUUCUACAAGACA